GACGAACGCUGGCGGCGUGCUUAACACAUGCAAGUCGAACGGAAAGGCCCUGCUUGCAGGGUACUCGAGUGGCGAACGGGUGAGUAACACGUGGGUGAUCUGCCCUGCACUUCGGGAUAAGCUUGGGAAACUGGGUCUAAUACCGGAUAGGACCGCACUUUAGUGUGUGUGGUGGAAAGUUUUUUCGGUGUAGGAUGAGCUCGCGGCCUAUCAGCUUGUUGGUGGGGUAAUGGCCUACCAAGGCGGCGAGGGGUAGCCGGACUGAGAGGGUGUACGGCCAUAUUGGGACUGAGAGACGGCCCAGACUCGGACGGGAGGCAGAAGGGGGGAAUAUUGAACAAUGGGCGCCAGCCUGAUGCAGCGAGGCCGCGGGGGGGAGGAAGGCUUUCGGGUUGAAAACUCCUUUCGCUAGGGACGAAGCUUUUUGUGACGGUACCUAGAUAAGAAGCACCGGCUAACUACGUG
rnacentral:rRNA from 1 species